UUCGAAGGGGGCUAGCGUUGCUCGGAAUUACUGGGCGUAAAGGGCGCGUAGGCGGCGUGUCAAGUCAGGCGUGAAAGCCCCGGGCUCAACCUGGGAACCGCGCUUGAGACUGGCAUGCUCGAGUUCGGGAGAGGAUGGUGGAAUUCCCAGUGUAGAGGUGAAAUUCGUAGAUAUUGGGAAGAACACCGAUGGCGAAGGCAGCCAUCUGGACCGACACUGACGCUGAGGCGCGAAAGCGUGGGGAGCAAACAGG
rnacentral:rRNA from 1 species